AAAGUCGUAACAAGGUCUCCGUAGGUGAACCUGCGGAGGGAUCAUUACUGAGUUAGGGAGCAAUCCCGAACCUCCAACCCUUUGUGAACACAUCUUGUUGCUUCGGGGGCGACCCUGCCGUUUCGACGGCAUUCCCCCCGGAGGUCAUCAAAACACUGCAUUCUUACGUCGGAGUAUAAAGUUAAUUUAAUAAAACUUUCAACAACGGAUCUCUUGGUUCUG
rnacentral:misc_RNA from 1 species